rnacentral:rRNA from 1 species
UACCAGACUCCUACGGGAGGCAGCAGUGGGGGAUAUUGCACAAUGGGGGAAACCCUGAUGCAGCGACGCCGCGUGAGUGAAGAAGUAUUUCGGUAUGUAAAGCUCUAUCAGCAGGGAAGAAAAUGACGGUACCUGAGUAAGAAGCCCCGGCUAACUACGUGCCAGCAGCCGCGGUAAUACGUAGGGGGCAAGCGUUAUCCGGAUUUACUGGGUGUAAAGGGAGCGUAGACGGCCAGACAAGUCUGAAGUGAAAAUCCAGCGCUUAACGUUGGAAGUGCUUUAGAAACUGCCGGGCUGGAGUGCAGGAGGGGCAGGCGGAAUUCCUAGUGUAGCGGUGAAAUGCGUAGAUAUUAGGAGGAACACCGGUGGCGAAGGCGGCUUACUGGACCAUGACUGACGUUGAGGCUCGAAAGCGUGGGGAGCGAACAGGAUUAGAUACCCGGGUA